AUACGAAGGGUGCAAGCGUUAAUCGGAAUUACUGGGCGUAAAGCGCGCGUAGGUGGUUUUGUAAGUUGGAGUUGAAAGCCCCGAGCUCAACCUGGGAAUUGCCUCCAAAACUGCAUGACUAGCGUACGGUAGAGGGUAGUGGAAUUUCAUGUGUAGCGGUGAAAUGCGUAGAUAUAGGAAGGAACACCAGUGGCGAAGGCGACUACCUGGACUGAUACUGACACUGAGGUGCGAAAGCGUGGGGAGAAAACAGGAUUAGAUACCCUGGUAGUCCACGCCGUAAACGAUGUCAACUAGCCGUUGGGAUCCUUGAGAUCUUAGUGGCGCAGCUAACGCAUUAAGUUGACCGCCUGGGGAGUACGGCCGCAAGGUUAAAACUCAAAUGAAUUGACGGGG
rnacentral:rRNA from 1 species